UGUGUGUUAAGUGUUUAUUGUAUACCUCAUUUGUAUCAAGAGCCUUCAAACAUAAUGUAUUUCUUAUAUUAUUUAAUCAAACAACAUUGAUUGACCUCCAAUAUAACUGAUGCUAUUUCAGAAUGCAUUAAUUAUUUGGUUUACAGGGACAUAUGUCAGUGAUGCGCAAAGAGCUGGUUUUCUGUUCACAGAGAAAUAUCCUAACAACUCCAACUCAGCCACUACAUCUCAAUAGACAACCCGAAUAUCAAGGCAUUAAGUUUCUUCUGGAUGCAGUUAGUCACAGCUUUCAAGCCAGCAGCUGUCGAUGUAUUGAGAUUCUCUCCUCUUCAUGUUACCCGACCUGCUGCCUGUGAACAUCCUGCACAUAGAACCUUUAUCCCAUUCGAUGUAAUUAAACCGGCCAAUCAAAAAGACAGCCUGAAAUAUUCCUCAUCUUGAAAUAUUGGGAAGGCAGGAAAACGCCUGUCACUGUUAAGAUAAAA